AAAUCCCUGCUUUGUUCGUGAUGAAGCUGAAUUUGUUAUGAACCAACACCAAUACCUUGGGAGUUCGCGCUCUACUGAGGGCAUGUAUGCCUUCUCGAGAGGACACAUAAGCUCAGUAGGAGGACACCCACCUUGCGUGAGCAGGGUUCAGGUAACGUUCAGCACAGCGGCAUAGCGGGGUUUUU
rnacentral:other from 1 species